rnacentral:rRNA from 1 species
CCACGCAGUAAACGAUGAUUACUAGCUGUUUGCGAUACAAUGUAAGCGGCUGAGCGAAAGCGUUAAGUAAUCCACCUGGGGAGUACGUUCGCAAGAAUGAAACUCAAAGGAAUUGACGGGGGCCCGCACAAGCGGAGGAACAUGUGGUUUAAUUCGAUGAUACGCGAGGAACCUUACCCGGGCUUGAAAUGCAUCUGACCGGCCUUGAAAGAGGCUUUCCCUUCGGGGCAGAUGUGUAGGUGCUGCAUGGUUGUCGUCAGCUCGUGCCGUGAGGUGUCGGCUUAAGUGCCAUAACGAGCGCAACCCUCAUCAUUAGUUACCAUCAGGUCAAGCUGGGGACUCUAAUGAGACUGCCAUCGUAAGAUGUGAGGAAGGUGGGGAUGACGUCAAAUCAGCACGGCCCUUACGUCCGGGGCGACACACGUGUUACAAUGGGUGGUACAAAGGGCAGCUACCUGGCGACAGGAUGCUAAUCUCCAAAACCACUCUCAGUUCGGAUCGGAGUCUGCAACUCGACUCCGUGAAGCUGGAUUCGCUAGUAAUCGCGCAUC